rnacentral:lncRNA from 1 species
UUCUGCCUUAAAUGCCAAGGCUCCUGGCAAGUGACAGAAACCCAACAUUGACUAACUGAAGCUCGCCUAAGUGGGACGACCAAGCCAUCUCACCUUCACAAGUUGAAUGCCCUCAUGGACCACUGAGUGAAUCCAGCGUAUCACCCUAGUCUACACUUUGGCCAUUCUCUUCAAAAUAAGGAGCCUGAUGUUUCACAAAACCAUCUGUUGCCCUCUUCUGUUAUUACAGCUGAAUGCUUCAGAAAUCAUUCUGCACCACUAAAAAUAAAAUCCACGUAGAACCUGAAAGAACCA